rnacentral:misc_RNA from 1 species
UCCCCCUAAAGUUGGUAACGUGGCCGUCGAUGGCUAGGAGCAGAGACGCCGAGGACGUAGAGCAAAGUAUCACGCAUGCGCAUCGCUCAAGGGACGCUACAGUCGUAAACAACAUUUUUUCCAUCUGUUACAUCGGAGAGUUUUUAUCCAAAUAAAGUAGGCAGGGAUUAUCAAGUGUUGAACGACGUAUGUUGCGAUAUCAUUGAAUAUUUUAUAGCAAAAAAUGAAGGUAGCAUCUUUUGUUCGAUAGAGUUCUUAUUUUGGGGUGACCUUAGAAUGUGGUGACGUCACUAAACGAUCUUUCUGGAUAUAACGGAGUAAUGGCGGAUCUCUACGCUAAGUAUAAUUGUACUUAUUGCCAGGAGGACAUAGCUGGUUUGCGUGUCAAAUGCGUGGAAUGUGCCGAUUUUGAUCUAUGCCUCCAGUGUUUUUCUGCGGGUGCUGAGAUAGGAUCGCACAAAAAUGAUCACCCUUAUCAGUUUAUGGAUUCUGGUACUAUAAGCAUAUUUAGUGGAAGAGGCAAUUGGACGGCCAGAGAACAACUCAGACUGCUUGACGCAAUUGAACAGUUUGGAUUUGGUAACUGGGAAGAUAUAAGCAAACACAUUGAAACCAGAACCCCAGAUGAGGCAAAAGAAGAGUAUAUCGCCAGAUAUCUGGAGGGAAAUAUCGGCAAGCAUACAUGGCCUUCGACCGAAAGUUACAAACCAAACCUCACAGAUCAAACAAGCUCUGAUCAUGGACCACUGUCACCCGACUUGACUUCACGGCUACCACCAUUGGAUGUCACUCCGGAAGAAGCUGCCCAACUAGGAUACAUGCCGCAGCGAGAUGACUUUGAACGGGAUUACAACCAUGAAGCUGAGUCCCUCGUUUCUUCGUUAUUCCUCAACCCCGCAGAGGAUGACGAUCUUGAUAUUGCGCUCAAGUUAGCCCAAGUCGAUAUGUACACCAACAACUUGCGCGAGAGAGCGAGAAGAAAACGUGUUGUCAGAGAUUAUCAGCUUGUUUCUUCAUUCUUUGCAGCAACAAGAAAAGAUCGAGCGGUAAAAAAAAAAUACAGCAAAGAAGACAGAGAAUUUCGGGAGCGAACUCGGAUGUUUGCUCAAUUCUACACAGCGCAAGAGUACGAGCAGUUUUUGACCAAUUUGGAAAGAGAACGGGAGCUUCGGCUACGAUUGACUGAACUUGGUCGUUACAGAGAGAAUGGUAUAACCAGGCAUGAAGAAUGUGCACAUUUUGAACAAGUCAUGGCCCAGACUCAAGGCCAAGCAGAAACUGUCGAACACUGGACUGAGAAAAAAUCUGGCAGCAGUGGGCCGUCCACACCAACACACCGCCAAUUCUUAAAAAAAAGAGAAGAAGAAAAAAAUUGCUGUUCAAUCGACCCAAAAUGCACGUCAAAGGCAGACUCGGCCAGCAACAGCUACAUAAUCAAUCGAACCAGUCCCAGUCGGACGACGAUUCCAGUCAAUCAGUUGGUGGUGCAAGAUAGCAAUGCCAAUGCAUUGCAUCCGCUAAUUGCUAUUUCAAAAACUACCUUGGAGAAAGGCAGCAACUCUACUGUUGCAUCCAUCAAGGUUUCCUCAAUGGGUUUUACGGAUCCCAAAAAAAAAGACAUAGAGAUGGAAGCUGCGGCUCAACUUCUCACCAAGCAAGAAAAGACCCUGUGUCUCCAGCUCGAUAUGAAACCAACGCAAUACCUCACCCAAAAAACACUUUUGUUGCAAGAGUAUCUAAAUGGCAACAGGAGGUCUGGCAUCGCACCCCAAUCUGAGCCGGAGAGCAAGAUUCUUCACUAUCUGGUUUCUAAUGGCUGGAUUGCUGCUAACUGACUAACCGAACAAAGUGAUUUACAUGCUACGCCACAUCUCUAAGUCAUCUUAGGUCGAAAGAACGGUAUCCUCCUUAUCCCGUUGCUGUCCGCUAUGUGUUCUCCAUGUUUCUACAAAUCAACAGCCCAAUAAUUUCUUUAUGCAGUCGAAAAAAAAUAUAAAGUCACAUUCUACUCGUGUGAAGAUUGCUGUAAAACAUCAAUAGAGCUGAACAUUUAACGUGAUGAUAUUUAUACCUAAGUUGAUAUUUUAUAUAACUAUGUUGUACCAUUCCGGUUGAUUUAGAUUCACCGAAUGGCGUCUUUGUUUCAGAAAGCAAUGAUUUUCAAGUCCUUCAUCUGCUUUCUGUAUCGCUCUGAAUGUUUUGCUCAAAAUAAUUUUUGUCAAAUACGUUAUUGCCUCGAUAAUUUUACGUAGGUGUGAUAUCGAACCAUUCUUUUUACCUAUUCAGAAUUCAGUUAGAUGUAGGUAGGAUAAAUGCUGGUAGGGUGAUCAGCCAAUAGAAUAGAUAAUGAACCAAAUUUUUGUCCUGGAAGUAUAAAGUUAAUCGCUAAUAUUGGAUUGUAUGCUAUCGACUCAUAAGCAUUGAAGUAUUCUCAGUUUAGUUGAUGUGAAUUCUAACUAAUUGUAAGGUAUAUUUGUUCACUCUCUAUUGAGAAAUGUCUAAAGUUGUAGAACAAACCAAAGUUAACAAUCGGAUCGGUUAAUACUUUGAUAAAUAAGUGUCUUGGAGCAAACGUGCCACUGGUGCCUCAGGGGUGUUCCUCUACCACCAAAUUGCUAAAUAAAACACGUGUAUAAAUUACAGGUAAUAUUGGACAUGCUUCUAUCAGAAAUGAAUUCUAAGUUAUUCGAUAGUACCUAGUAAAGAAGAAGUAAGAGUAAUUCGAGUCAUUAAUUUUCUGAAACUGUAUUAGCAUAGUUUCAUGAAUUUCAUUUACUAUAAUUCAUCGAAAAUACAGUUUCAAUCGAAACAAUGAUUCUAUUUAUUAGCUCCUCAUCAGAUGUUAUCCAGAUCUUGCGUAAUUUUCAACUUUGAAAUAGUCGAGUUACGCUUUUGCGGUAGAAUAAGCGUCGGGGAGAAUUAGUAGUCUGUUGAAAUAUUCGGAAUCUUCGUUUUAUUGGUGAAACAUAAUUGUUAAAACAUGGUGUAAACUUAAAACAGAUGAUAAACGAACGCAAAAAAUA